UGAGGGUCUGCCGCUGCCUGUCGGAGGGGAUGCUGCCGGACCCCAGCACAGGGCAACCGGCUCCGGGCAGCGUCGCCCGUGGAGCCUUGCGCUCCUUCGCGGGAGUGAAGCGGUAGAAACAAACGGAACGUGCAAAAAGCCCCGGUGGCUGAUCUCUCUCGGGAGAGAUAGUGAGUGUGGGCUUAGGCAACGCGGUUUGCGUGCAGGGCUGCUACAUAAAAUACACUCAGACUGGGGCCCUCACCUCUGGUGCCCAACAGCAGUUCGGCACAGAGCUGGGCUCCCGUGCCCCUGGUUUACCCCUGAUCUGACUGACCUGCUUGUCCCUGAUCCUUGUGCCACAGGACCUCCAGGUACAUGAUCCUUCCAAUCAGGAAGGACGCUGGGCUCUCCGUGGGCUGCUGCUGGGACAUACUUACCUGCCAGCUCCCUCCUGCUUGCUCAUAUACUUGGGGCUGGGGGUCAGGCCCCAGGACUGGGGGUCAGAACAAAUGCUGUGAGCGCACCCAGCUGGCAAGGAAUGCUUGCUCGGGACUCGUACCCUGUGGCACGCGCCCGUGGGGCUGGGGUAGCACAGCCUCCUCGCUUGCUGGCAUGGUGAUCCUCAGGAGCCAGAGGAUAAACGGGAUGGCAGGAGGUUCUAGGGGUGGGAUGGGGAGGGUCAGUGUGUGCAGGUGCGCACAGGGAUGCGUGUGCAUGGGAGGGUGAGUACGCACAGGUACGUGGGUGUGCAAGGACACUGGUGUGGGGUUGAGAAUGUGCCUGGGAGUUUGUGCGUGUGCACUGACAUGCGAGUGUGCAUACAAACACAUGCCAGUGUGCACAGCUGUGUGGCUGGACCCAAGGCAUGAGUGUCCACAGGUAUGUGGGAAUGGAUGUGGGCAGGUGUGUGUGCAGAGGAAUGGGGGUGCAGAGAGGUGGGUAUGCAUAGUUGUGCAGGUGCUGUGUGUGGCUGUAGAGCUGAUCCUGCCCACGUCUUGGUGCUUCCUGCCAGUUCUCCCAAAACUCGGAUCACCAGUGUGCUGCUGAGUCUAUCUCUGUGGGAAAAGCUUUCCCAAAGCCCUUUUGGCCAUUACACAAAUGGUGUUUAAGGGAGCAAGGGGAGGUGGGAGAUGUUCAUCCUAGUGAAACAGGGCUCCCUUGAAGGUUUCCAACAAUGUUGUUUCUCUGCUUGGAGAAAAAUGUGUGUGAGGAUCCAUUUGCACGCAGCAAACGAACCCCAGCCCUGGUUUCUAGCUGAAUAAAGGGACCCCAGAGUCUUUGGCCACCUGCUUAUUUGUGCAGCUUCCCAGUGAUCUGGGAGGUAGCAGAAUAAACUAUGAUGCUAGCAGAAUAAACCAUGAAGUGGCACUCUCUGAGGACCCAUGUGUGCGGUCGCAGAAGCUGAAUGCAGAUGUGUGGCAGAGUUUCAAAUCACAUGCUGUAGAGUUUGUGCCAGGACACAGAAGAAAAAUCAGCCUCCCAUACUGACACCCAUGUUCUUGAAGUACACAAAACACUAGGGUAGUAUUACCCUGCACAAACCAAGAAACCGACUCCUUCAGCAUGAAAGGAGAGUGGCAAAGCUGCCUCGCCGGCAAUGCUCUGCCCUCUGGCUCAUGGGAAGCUGUAGCUGGGCAUGAAUUUUCCUGCCAGAUUUUCCAAAAGGCAGUGCGGUAGUUCCGUCACCUCUGGGGCUGUGUGUGUCUCUGCGCCAUGCCAGUUCCGUGCCUCCAGAGGGCAAAGUCAGAUCAUGCUUCACUUUGCACUUGUAGAGGAUGGGGAAUGAAAGCAGUGCGCUGAGGUGGGAUGGUGUGCUGAACAGCUGCUUUUGCCCUCCCUGCUGGUGAUGAAAAUCCUUUUCCAAGAAACCACUUUCCUUGGCAGAGCCCAGCCUGUAAGCAGAGUGAAAUGGAUACCCAAACAGCAUGUGCUGGCUCUUGUCCCUUCUCCUUUCCUCGUCAUGCAUGUUAAACUGUAAUCCCAGUAUUUGUGAGUGAAGUAGGAGUUGUGUAAUGUGGUGGUGUAGAGACUAUCCUCAAUCUGAUAUUAUCAUCAGCCUAUUUCAAAACAUUUUCAGCUCUCCACUCGGGGAGCAGGAGUAUGUCCCAUUUUAAGCAUUGGUGUCUCUUUUGACUGCCAGUUCCUCUGGGGAGGGAACUAUGGGGAACAUGAAACUCAGACUCACUCAGGUGGAUCUUAGACUGCAUAUCUCCUCCAUCUGUAAACCAAAGUGCUGCCUGUUGCUGCAGCAGAAGAGUUGGUGCUUUUCAUGUUUGGCAUUAUUUUAUUUUCUCUUGUCAUUCAGCUACACUGGAGGAGGGACAAGGGUGUUGUGAGGUUUGCAUGGCGCUUGCUCCCCUGAAGCCUGCGCAUUUCAUCACCUCAUGAAAAUCUUCCGGAUGCGUGUCUUUGAAUAGCCAUCAGGCUCUGUUGGCAUGGAAAUGAGUUCUCUCUAUUUUGCCUAUCAAAUGCCCUAUUUGGCCAGUCAUUCAACAGUUUUGAGAGGUUUAAUCCCCUCUAAGGGUGGCCUAAGUCUUUGGUGUUCACACUCCCUGUAGCGAGCUUCACCUUUCCCCUCCGAGUCUUCCCUGCCACUUGCAGCCUCCUGUGGUUACUGCAGGCAGCUGUGUCCGUGGCAUGGUGUCAGCUUUGGGUAUAGUUUCCUCUAUUUGUGUCCCAGUGUGAUAGCAGCAGUAAGGCUGUUGCAGAAGGCAGGGGGUAAGGAAGCCAGCCAGCCAGAAGAAUUUCUUCUGCAUGCAGGGCCACCGUCAUAAGUAUUGGUCAUGCCACUAACUUUGGUAGAGCAGGUGAAGGCCAAGCAUGUAGGACACAGUGGUGGCUCAGAUCUUGCCGGAUGAACAUCUCCUACUCUAUGUUUCCCGGGUACCCUGCUGGGACUUGUCUGCUCUGCUCACUCACAGCUGGCAUCACUGCUGUCUGAUGGGAGCUCCUGCAAGGGGCCCACAGGGCCGGAAAGACCCUGAGGCUUGUGGAAGGGAAGGGUGGCUUGUCAUCUGAAGCCGAAUUUUGCUUGCCGGUGCACUAGGUGAUCCCUCUCUGCAGCUAGUGGUGAAACCUGAUGCUUGAUAGAGAAUAAUAGGAUGCAGCAGUUUAGAGAGAAUUGUUUAUUGCUUGCUUUGGAAGCUGGGAAUUUUAUUUAAGAAUAAUUAUUUAAGUUAAUUAAUUGUCUUACUGUGAACAAAAUAUCUUUGCAAAUAUCCUGUUUUACUUCAAAAAGUUAUUUGGAAAUAAA